rnacentral:sRNA from 1 species
GUUCCCGUCUGCUGCCUCUCGGAGAGUCCCGGGUGGCCUGCAGGUACUGCGAGAUUUAUAGGGAGGGCGCUGGGACCCCCAAAAGCUGGGAAAUGCUUUGUCUUCUUAUCUUACUGAAGACAUUUUGCCAGAGCAGGGCCUGCAAGUUUCAUUCCAAAAAGUGAUGCUGAGAAGAUAUGAAAGAUGUUGUCUUGAGAAAUUACACUUAAGGAAUGACUGGGAAAUUGUGGCCAUGUGAAGAUGUGCUUGCUUCCCCUUUGCCUUCUGCCAUGAUUGUAAGUUUCCUGAGGCCUCCCCAGAAGCAGAAGCCUGUAAAGCCCACAGAACCGGCCCAGUCGUUGACCAUCGAGCUGCUUUAAAGACCCUGCGGAGGUUCUGUCGCUGCUUGAAUACAGUGCCUGGACUCCCUGCUCCGUGAGGCGAAUUUCCACCAGGUCCAGCUGGGUCAGCCCGAGUUCUGAAUUAAAACAUGCCUCUC